AAAACAGCGUGAACUAGGAGAAGGAGGAGAGAGAAUAAUGUAGAAAGUUUAAAAUAGACUAACUGGGGAGGAUGUUAGUGGAGGAAUCGACUCGUCAAGAGAUCUAUAAUUAUCUACAGACUGUUAGUUUUAGUCUAGUUAGAGUCUGGAGUGUGAGGAGUUAUAACACUGAAGCUUGGCAUCCAUCCGAUACCCUCAUUGUAUAGUCUAGGUGUGUGUUGUAGUGUAGUCUACUAGUAAAGAUGUCUGGAAAACCGGAACUACCCUACGGAUACUUGGGUGCCCAGCCUAAAUUUAGUGAGUUUGGGCUAUCGACGUUGAGUCACAACAACCCUGAGGUGGAUGUUCCCGAUAAUCAGAUAGAGCUGAAGUUUAGGACAACUCGUCCAGUUAAACUAACUGGUAAUCUUAUUCAGUGUUCUAAUGAAACUGAACAUAAAGAAUAUGUCUUCUGUCAUACUCAGGGGGAUAUCAGUGCAUUAAUAGCGACGAUGCCUGAUACAGGUUAUUACAAGCUACAGAUCUACGCUCUGCCUUGUGACGAUGAUAGUAAAACAUUACCAGGCGUCUUCAAUUAUCUCAUUAAUAAUACAGGUUCACCUAAAGCACCAACACCUUUCCCGAAACAAUACGCUCCAUGGAAAGAUGGAUGCUACCUUUACGAUCCAAUUGUUCUUAAUCAAUCAAUGGAUUUAUCCAACGUACCUGUAAAACUUAGCGUACCUAAUGCCGCUGCCGUGGCUGCAACCGUUGACGGCGAUUGGACCCACCUACAAAAAGAUGGUCAAGGAUUAUGGGUUGGGCAGUUGAAUCUAGACAAAUACCGCGCUAAAGGAGCCAAAGUCUGCCUCAAUGCCAACUUCGGUGGAGAUAAAACAAAAUUCGCUACAUUACUUGAAUAUACCAUAUAAAAACAUUUCGUUACUGAUUUACUAAAAGGACAUAGGUGCUCAACACACGCCAAACGGCAUUACACAAGUAGCUCAAUACUAGAGAGAGAAUAACAAGAUAGGGCACAGAAUGGAAUUUCUGAAGAUUGUAACGUCUAAGAUUUGACAAAUAUGCAGGACACUAAAGAUUUUACUUUUUGAUGGUACAUUAAUGAAUAGUUGUUGAUUCUUAUAACGAAUUCUAGUUAGUUUAAUCUGUAUUUCCUCCAAGAUAAGAUUAGUAUAUGCAAUUUAUCGUUUUUGACAAGGAUAAAGUAACUUGCAAAAUUGCCUAUAUAAAAUGAUUUGGACAUUAUUGUUUCUGACGAUCCAUUCAACCUACCGACGUAAGCAUGUAAAAUAGAGAAUGUCAAUUCGUAGUGUAAAUAUUCACAGCUUUUAUUAACAACGUCUUCUGCUCACACUAUUAUGUUUUGUUAAUACUAUCUUAAUAAGUGUUUUUGUUUAUUUUAUAUGUAUACAAUUUCGUCUCUGUAUUUGGCGUCUAUGAUGCUGGCAUUUAAUAAAUUUACUUUGAUUUUAA